rnacentral:rRNA from 1 species
GAUGAACGCUGGCGGCGUGCCUAAUACAUGCCAGUCGAGCGAACGGACGAGAAGCUUGCUUCUCUGAUGUUAGCGGCGGACGGGUGAGUAACACGUGGAUAACCUACCUAUAAGACUGGGAUAACUUCGGGAAACCGGAGCUAAUACCGGAUAAUAUUUUGAACCGCAUGGUUCAAAAGUGAAAGACGGUCUUGCUGUCACUUAUAGAUGGAUCCGCGCUGCAUUAGCUAGUUGGUAAGGUAACGGCUUACCAAGGCAACGAUGCAUAGCCGACCUGAGAGGGUGAUCGGCCACACUGGAACUGAGAUACGGUCCAGACUCCUACGGGAGGCAGCAGUAGGGAAUCUUCCGCAAUGGGCGAAAGCCUGACGGAGCAACGCCGCGUGAGUGAUGAAGGUCUUCGGAUCGUAAAACUCUGUUAUUAGGGAAGAACAUAUGUGUAAGUAACUGUGCACAUCUUGACGGUACCUAAUCAGAAAGCCACGGCUAACUACGUG